UUAGGACUCCAUGAGGGCGAUUUUGGAGCUCCGGUGGAAAGUUUGAGGCAUUUGAUCCCACGACAUGGGAUUGCCUUAAAAAUUGUGUGCUUUUUAAAGGAAGCAAAGAAUUACUUCAUGUGACAGCGCACUGGACCUUGCGGUGCAGAAAUAUGGAAACUGAGUAUCUCGUAAUUUGGUGUAGCGAAGAGGGCGCUGGGAAAAUCCUUGAUCUUCUGGGUACAGACUGCAUUUCUGCCCCCAUUCUGCGGUAUGGCCAGGAUUGAGUAGUCCAGAAUAUUGCCUCAUCAGAAAUUAGGAGCAUCUGAGUAAUAGAGAACUUGCUUUCUUUUUGACUGUCCUGGGAUGAUCCGUGGAGAUGGAUAUUGAGCAAUAAAAAUGCAGGAGGAAGCCA